GCUCCCUUCCUGAUCUUCGUUCGUCUUCUAUCGGCGCAGCGAUCGUCCAGAAUCUGUAACGGUUAUGCUUUUAAUCGUCUUUAAUCGUCUUUAAUUCCUACCCCACUCAAAUCAACCUCUUGAGCCGUUCAUCGGCUAUAUUAAUCGUCUUUAAUCCUGGUUUAUAUAUUAGAAGCGAGUUUCACUGUCGGGAAGCGAGGUUCUCAGAGAGAUUCAGGCAUCAUCUUCCACCUAGAUGAAAAGAAACUUCUAUUUCAUUUGGGAUCAUGGAUUUUGGUGGACUUCCAAAUAUUAUCUGGAAGAGUUUCUGUAAAUUCUUUGGUCCACUUCAAGUUCCUGAGAACACCAAUGAUCCUGAUGAUGGAUAGGCUGAAGAACUCCAAGCCCAAAUGGAGCACGACUAUGACAACAGAUCAAACCAUUAAAGAGAAAAUCAUCUUGCGUGUUGUGUCAAAGUUUACUGGCGAAGUUCUUGCAUGCUGUGUCAAGGUUUACGAUGAUUAUGAGAUUACUGAAGAUGAUGAUGAGGAUGUGAAGGGAGGAAGAUAAGUAGGAGGAUGAGGACGACAAUGAAGAGGAUGAGCAGGGAAAGAAGAGCAUAAAAAGUCAUCAGCUGGACGGAAGGUCUGGAAGCAUACAACUUGCGGAAGGUCAACAAGGUGAGAGGCCAUUGGAGAGUAAGCAACAGUGAGUAAAAUUCUUCUGCAGUAUAGAAAGUGGCUUAUUUGUGAAGAGUUGGGUCUUUCUAUUUCUGAAGUUGUAGAAUCGUUGUCCGUUUGAUACGAAAUAUCAAGUUUUGUCGAGUGGUUUGCUAAAAAAAUUUGGUUAUUUGGUUUGGUCUGGUUUGCGUCUGAUUUUUCAUUUGUAACGUGUGUCUAAUCAUGAACUGGUUUGAACCCUUUCUAAUAGUAUUUGUGGUUUUGUUAACAAUUCA